ensembl:lncRNA
GGACAGGUCGAUCCAGCUAUAUUGUGUAUGAAAUCCUGCAACUAGUGAGGUCUGGGCGCCCGACAACCUUCCCGCUCAAACCCAUCCCUUCCUAUUUUCUCCAGACCACCUCUGGAGACCUUCUCCCAUUUCUCACUCCCCUCAUCAACUCAUCUCUGACCAAUGGCUGCAUCCAUUCUGACUUCAAAUUGCAAGAGUAGCUCCAUACUCAAGAAACCAACACUCAACCACUCAAAAACUACAGACUGAUCUAUCCACUGCCUUCGACACCGUGAACCAUCAGAUCCUCCUCUUCACCCUCUCAGGACUCUGCACACUAUUGGAUUGCAUCCUACCUGGCAGGCUGCUCCUACCCGAUGGUGACACUCAUCUCUGCGUGCCUGGCAGAUAUCUCCGCUUGGAUGUCGGCCCACCACCUCAAGCUUAACCUUGACAAGACGGACCUGCUCUUCCUCCCAGGAAAGGCCUGCCCACACCAAGACCUCUCCAUCACGGUUGACAACUCCAUGGUGUCCUCCUUACAGAGUGCAAAGAACCUUGGCAUGACCCUGGACAACACUCUCGUUCUCUGAAAACAUCAAAGCAGUGACUCGUUCAUGCUCUACAACAUCCGUAGAGGACAAUCCUACGUCACACAGGAAGUGGCGCAGGUCCUAAUCCAGAUAUUUGCCAUCUUCCGUCUGGACUACUGCAACUCGCUGUUGGCUGGGCUCCCCGCUUGUGCCAUCAAACCCCUGCAACUUAUCUAUCUAUAACUUAGCCCACUUGGUGUUCAACCUUCUCAAGUUUUUCCAUGUCACCCCUCUCCUCAACAACACUCUACUGGCUUCCAGUCGAAGCUCAAACAAUAUAUCUCACACAAUUGCUAUAUCAAAUGAGUUGUAUAACCUGAGUGCGUACUAGGCCUAUUUGUUUUCAUGAGAAUACACAGUAGGUGUUCCUGUGAGAGGUUGAAUGUAAACCCUCCCUCGCUCUCUCUGUGGUUAGGUGGUGCACACAGUCGACUGAGGAAAAGGGUUCUGUAAGUGAAGAGGAAGCUGACUGUUGGCAAAGAUCCUUUCCUAUAGCCACUUCUCGACCAACCAGAGUCCCACAUGUUUUGAGCCCCACCUUUUUAGCAACACAUUUGGG